GUAAGGAUAAUGAGAAAAAUAUAAUUCAAUUACUUCUUCACUAAGAGAUGGAGAAAUGGCUUGUAGGUCAACAACUCUUUGUUACUUUUUUAAUGUCUUGUCUCUUUCUAACCAAAAGCAUAAGCAUAUAUACAAGAGGUGGUCUCAUGAUUUAAAUUUUAAAAUUUUCAUUAUUGGAUACACUUUGACAAAAGCCUCCUUUCUUUUCUAAAAAAGUUGAAAUGAAGUUCAUUAUUGGUGUAUCAUAAUAUUAUUCAGAACGUCCACAAGUGAAACGUGUCUUCAUAUCUUGAUCGGAUCUUUCGUAUUAAUGCCGCAGUAGUAAGAAACAAAAAUAAAAUUUGAUCAAUUAAGAAAAAAAUGAGUUCGUCACAUCACAUGCGGCUUAAUUAUAGUCAUCAUGUAUCUCUAACAUAUAGAUAUUUAUAAAUGCAAACAAUUGACGGAAAAAAAUGUAAAAAAUUCCGACCUGCCGGAAUCAAACCAGCGACCUAAAGAUUUACAGCAACUACUACAGUCUUCCGCUCUACCAACUGAGCUAAGGUCGGAUUGAUAAAGUCCGUAUAUGUGAAAUAUAUAUACAUUUCACUUGAUAAUGGGCCCUAAUGGGCUUUCUAACAGAUUUGUCAAGAGUUGGCGUAUAUGAAGGCUAGAGGUGAGAUUGGUGGAGCCACCCAUGAUACUUACGUGAAAAGCAACCACAACAAUAAUGUGCGCUCCACAGCCAUGAGUGGAGAAGAGGCAGUGGUUAAAAGAAGUUAAAUUCAAUCUGAAUGCUUGAUUUGUUCAGUGCUUUGAAACAAGAUUAAAAAAACUUGACAUUCUGACUUUUAUAGAUACUGUAAUAUUUAAGAUAAGAGAUAACUAAAAGUCGAACUACAUGUGACUGGUUAAAAACCCGGUGAGGAAUCUGAAGAAUCGUUGGUGAUUUGGCCAUCAACAUAGAACGGAUCACGCGGGAUUCUGUUAUAAUUUUUCUACUUAUUUUUUGUUCACUAAAUAUUCAUAUUCUAUCUUACUGGACCCGAUUAAUUUAUACUUUUCAAAAAAACCCUCAUAUUCCCAGCUUUUUACACACACUCAAUCUCAUGAUUUAAAUCAUUAGAAAACGUAUUCGCUAUUUGAUACACCUAUCUCCGUGACUCUAUAUAAACCCUCUAGUGUUCACCUUUAUGUCAAACCACUUAAACCACACUAAUUAACCAAAAAGCAAGUAGAAAAAAUGGCUAAGUCGUCAUGCACUCUCGUUGCUCUCCUCUGCCUCUAUUUUCUUCUUCUUUCUUCAACUAAUUUGAAGGCGGUAGAGGCCGGGGUAUGUCAAAGGUAUAGCGGUUCGUGGGAGGGAGUAUGCAUUUUCUCGAGCAACUGUAAUACCCAAUGCAUUGAAAGGGAAAGCGCUAAAUACGGAGCGUGUCACAGGGAUGACAACGGUUUAGCUUGUUUCUGUUAUUUCGAUUGCUAGAGAAAAUUAUCGUUUGCGUUUUUAUUCUAAGUUGCUUUUUCUUUCCAAAGCUUCCUAUGCGUUGUGUCUCUCCUUCCCUUGGUAUCGUUUUGUUGUUUUUAUUUUAUUCUAUGUUUCCUUACGAAUAAUGCACUACUGUGAUGUGUCAUGUGUAACUACUGUAUCGUUAAAUUUCGAACUUUUGUGUUUGGUUUAUGUUACAUGAGUGUUACGAAACAA